rnacentral:rRNA from 1 species
CCCUUAGAUGUUCUGGGCCGCACGCGUGCUACACUGAUGCAUUCAACGAGUCUAAAACCUGGUCUGAUAGGGCUGGGUAAUCUUUUGAAAGUGCAUCGUGAUUGGGAUAGAUGAUUGCAAUUCUUCAUCUUCAACGAGGAAUGCCUAGUAAACGCAAGUCAUCAGCUUGCAUUGAUUACGUCCCUGCCCUUUGUACACACCGCCCGUCGCUCCUACCAAUUGAAUGAUCCGAUGAAUACCAUGGAUUGAGAGUACGAAUAGGUUCGCUUAUUUCUGCUGCUCGAGAAGUGGAGUAAAUCUUAUCAUUUAGAGGAAGGAGAAGUCGUAACA